rnacentral:rRNA from 1 species
GACGAACGCUGGCGGCGUGCUUAACACAUGCAAGUCGAACGGAAAGGCCCUGCUUUUGUGGGGUGCUCGAGUGGCGAACGGGUGAGUAACACGUGAGUAACCUGCCCUUGACUUUGGGAUAACUUCAGGAAACUGGGGCUAAUACCGGAUAGGAGCUCCUGCUGCAUGGUGGUGGUUGGAAAGUUUCGGCGGUUGGGGAUGGACUCGCGGCUUAUCAGCUUGUUGGUGGGGUAGUGGCUUACCAAGGCUUUGACGGGUAGCCGGCCUGGGAGGGUGACCGGCCACAUUGGGACUGAGAUAGGCCGCAGACUCCUACGGGAGGCAGCAGUGGGGAAUAUUGCACAAUGGGCGGAAGCCUGAUGCAGCAACGCCGCGUGCGGGAUGACGGCCUUCGGGUUGUAAACCGCUUUCGCCUGUGACGAAGCGGGAGUGACGGUAAUGGGUAAAGAAGCACCGGCUAACUACGUG